ACGGAAGGCAGCAGUGAGGAAUAUUGGUCAAUGGGCGAGAGCCUGAACCAGCCAAGUAGCGUGAAGGAAGACUGCCCUAUGGGUUGUAAACUUCUUUUGUGCGGGGGUAAAGUGGUCCACGCGUGGUCCAUUGCAAGUACCGUACGAAUAAGCAUCGGCUAACUCCGUGCCAGCAGCCGCGGUAAUACGGAGGAUGCGAGCGUUAUCCGGAUUUAUUGGGUUUAAAGGGUGCGCAGGCGGCACGUUAAGUCAGCGGUGAAAUGCAGGGGCUCAACCCCGGCACUGCCGUUGAAACUGGCGAGCUCGAGUACGGAUGAAGUCGGCGGAAUGUGAUGUGUAGCGGUGAAAUGCUUAGAUAUGUCACAGAACACCGAUUGCGAAGGCAGCUGACUAAUCCGCAACUGACGCUCAGGCACGAAAGCGUGGGGAUCGAACAGGAUUAGAUACCCUGGUA
rnacentral:rRNA from 1 species